UACGUAGGGUGCGAGCGUUGUCCGGAAUUACUGGGCGUAAAGAGCUCGUAGGCGGUGUGUCGCGUCGGCCGUGAAAACCUGCAGCUUAACUGUGGGCUUGCGGUCGAUACGGGGCAUCACUGGAGUUCGGCAGGGGAGACUGGAAUUCCUGGUGUAGCGGUGAAAUGCGCAGAUAUCAGGAGGAACACCGAUGGCGAGGGCAGGUCUCUGGGCAUUAACUGACGCUGGAGGAGCGGAAAGCAUGGGGAGCGAAUGGG
rnacentral:rRNA from 1 species